UGCACGAACAGGAAGCACAGCACCUCCCACGCCAGGGCCUUCACUGGCAGUCUGUGUUCCCGAGCGCUAGCGUCAGGCAGGGCCCCGGCCAGGGGCUCGACGAGGGUGACCUCCUUCCGCUCGCUCAAGUACCCUCUGGUUACCAAGUGACCCAAGUUCCCUAGAAGUGGUUCUGGAGGCUGUGGUGUCCAAAAUCAAGGUGCCAGCAGAUCUUUGACCGACUUUGAGUUCUCACAGUUCUGGAGGCUGCGGUGUCCAAAAUCAAGGUGCCAGCAGAUCUUUGACCGACUUUGACUUCUCACAGUUCUGGAGGCUGCGGUGUCCAAAAUCAAGGUGCCAGCAGAUCUUUCCUGGUUUGCAGAUGGCAGAGAGUAGAGAGAGAGAGGAGGCAAUCUUCCUAGUUUUUCUUCUUGUUAGGGCAUGAAUUCUGUCAUGGGGGCUUCACCCUCAUGACUUAAUCAGUUCCCAAAGGCCCUACGACCAAAUGCCAUCAUACUGGGGAUUAGGGUUCCCGCAUAUCACGUUGGGAAGGGCGCAGGCAUCAGUCCAUAACAGAAGUCACAGCUUAAUGGACUUCCCUGGUGGUCCAGUGGCUAAGAAUCUGCCGGCCAAUGCAGGGGACACAGGUUUGAGUCCUGGUCUGAGAAGAUGCCACAUGGCAGAGGGGUGCUAAACCCGUGAGCCACAACCACUGAGAUCAUGCACCC
ensembl:lncRNA